rnacentral:lncRNA from 1 species
AAUAACAUUAUUAUCCGCCUUAAAUCUGCUCGGAGUCUCCAUGUAAAAAUUCCCACACACUUCAAAAAAUAAGCUCAUUGCCGACGGGAUGUGCCGUCGCCAAUGACCCUAUUACCGUCGGCAAUGAGAUCAUUGGCGACGGCACUGUCCGUCGCCCUUCCCGUCGUCGUAUGGGUCGUCGCCCCGGCCUCCCGUCGCUUGCCGUCAGCAAGUUGGUCAUUACCGACGGCUUGCCGUCGCCAAUGACUCAUUGCCGACGGCAUGGCCGUCGCCAAUGACCCACUUUAAAAAAAAAAUAUUAAAAUUACAAAAUUCCCCUGUUCAUUUACAUAUACAUUGUACCUGUUAUAAACUAAGAAAAAUAAAUAAUGACAAUAUACGCAUAUCAAUAACAAUCAUAUCUUUUACUAUCAACAAUUAAUAUAAUUAGAUACCAAACUCAAAUCUGUACAACUCAAAAGCUAAAUACAUACAUGAAAGUCAAAAUAUAAAUAUAAACAACUACUGCCCAAGAUCAGGAAUCUCUGUCCCAUCGCCGGUCCCAUCCUCCAUAGUCUCAUCAGCAUCAGCUCGGAGAUCAUCACCAUCUCCUCCACGAGCAUCACCUGUGCCGCCAUCUCCACCUCUACGAGUCUCAUCAACAAGACCCUACAAAAUUAAAAUAUUAAUAACGGAGUCCCCAAAAUAGAUCAUAUUUAUAUUAUUUUAGUUUGUGUUCUACAAGUGUUGUUCAGUUUCGCAAACAGGGCGAUAACUGGGUCUCCGUAUGUCGGAAUUGAGUACCAUCAGUUGUAACUCGUGCCUAAUACCUACGCAGUGCUGUGUGUGUGUUUGCGUGGAGUUCGGACGGACGAUGCAGGUUUCAGGCUCUUUUUCGACUUUUUGGCUAAGUGUUGUUCAGUUUCGCAAACUAGGCGAUAACUCGGUCUCCGUAUGCCGGAAUCGAGUCCCGUUGAUUGUAACGCGUGCCCAAUACCUACGCGGUGCUGUGUGUGUGUUUGCGUGGCGUUCGGACGAACGAUGCGGGUUUCGAGCUCUUUUUCGACUUUUUGGCUAAGUCUUGUUCAGUUUCGCAAACAGGACGAUAACUAGGUCUCCGUAUGUUGGAAUCGAGUAUCGUCAGUUGUAACGCGUGUCUAAUACCUAUGCGGUGCUAUGUGUGUGUUUGCGUGGCGUUCAAACGGACGAUGCGGGUUUCGGGCUCUUUUUUGGCUUUUUGCCUAAGUCUUGUUCAGCUUCGCAAACUAUGCGAUAACUCGGUCUCCGUAUGUCGGAAUCGAGUACCGUCAGUUGUAACGCGUGCCUAAUACCUACGCGGUGCUAUGUGUGUGUUUGCGUGGCGUUCGGACGGACGAUGAAGGUUUCGGCCUCUUUUUCGGCUUUUUACCUAAGUCUUGUUCAGUUUCGGAAACUAGGCGAUAACUCGGUCUCCGUAUGCCGGAAUCGAGUCCCGUCAAUUGUAACGCGUGCCUAAUACCUACACGGUGCUGUGUGUGUGUUUGCGUGGCGUUCGGACAGACGAUGCGGGUUUCGGGCUCUUUUUUCGGCUUUUUGCCUAAGUCUUGUUCAGUUUCGCAAACUAGGUGAUAACUCGGUCUCAGUAUGCCAGAAUCGAGUCCCGUCAAUUGUAACGCGUGUCUAAUACCUACGCGGUGCUGUGUGCGUGUUUAUGUGGCGUUCGGACGGACGAUGCGUGUAUCGGGCUCUUUUUCGGCUUUUUGCCUAAGUCUUGUUCAGUUUCGCAAACUAGGCGAUAACUCGGUCUCCGUAUGUCGGAAUCGAGUACCGUCAGUUGUAACGCGUGCCUAAUACCUACGCGGUGC